AGCUGCUCACUUAUCCAUGCAAAAUUAGUGCAGUGUGGGGGCGGUAGCUCUGGCAGAGGAAAAGGCAGCAAGCCACUGGGGGAAGACUUGCAUCUUCAGCCAGCACAGCUGCUUGCAAAAUGAACUAUCUUGCUACACCCCUUGCCCUGAGGGGCCUAACACACACUGAUGACACUGAGACCAGCCAUCACAGCCACUUUUCUUUUACAGCAGACUGGUUGGUACAGCACCUGCCCAAGCUGUGAGAGAGGAUCCAAAAGAGCACUGCCUACUUCCCAGAUGUUUGCAGC